CGGCUCACUGCAAUCUCCUCCUUCUGGGCCCAAGCGAUUCUCCUGCCUCAUUCUUCCCAGUAGCUGGGAUUAUAGGCUUCCGCCCCAACGCCUGGCUAAUUUUUGUAUUUUUAGUAGAGACAAGGUUUCUCUAUUGGUCAGGCUGGUCUGGAACUCCUGACCUCAAGUGAUCCUCCCCCUUUGGUAUCCCAAAGUGCUGGGAUUACAGGCGUGAGCCACUGCACCUAGCCUCCUAUCUUGUCUUCAUGAGUGUUCAGAAUUUUGUGGUGCACUGAUCAGAAGCCCAGAGGAAUCUAGACUUCAUUGAGGUGCACCUUGGUAUUUGAAUCCCACUCUCUCUUUUUGUUUUUAUUUUUUGGUGGAGUGGGAGGGUAGGGGCAGACAGAGUCUCACUCUGUUGCCCAGGCCAAAGUGCAGUGGGCACAGCUCACUGCAGCCUUGACCUCACAGGCUUAAAUCAUCCUCCCACCUCAGCCUCCGGAGUAGCUAGGACUAUAGGUGCACCACCACACCUGGCUAAUUUUUGUAUUUUUUGUAGAACUGAGG
rnacentral:lncRNA from 10 species